UAUUGCACAAUGGGGGAAACCCUGAUGCAGCGACGCCGCGUGAGUGAAGAAGUAUUUCGGUANGUAAAGCUCUAUCAGCAGGGAANNCCNNNANGGUACCUGAUUAAGAAGCCCCGGCUAACUACGUGCCAGCAGCCGCGGUAAUACGUAGGGGGCAAGCGUUAUCCGGAUUUACUGGGUGUAAAGGGAGCGUAGACGGCAGCACAAGUCAGGAGUGAAAUGCCGGGGCUUAACCCCGGAACUGCUUUGGAAACUGUGCAGCUAGAGUGCAGGAGAGGUAAGUGGAAUUCCUAGUGUAGCGGUGAAAUGCGUAGAUAUUAGGAGGAACACCAGUGGCGAAGGCGGCUUACUGGACAGUAACUGACGUUGAGGCUCGAAAGCGUGGGGAGCA
rnacentral:rRNA from 1 species